UACGAAGGGGGCUAGCGUUGUUCGGCAUUACUGGGCGUAAAGCGCACGUAGGCGGAUUUGUUAGUCAGGGGUGAAAUCACGGGGCUCAACCUCGGAAUUGCCUUUGAUACUGCAAGUCUCAAGUCCGGAAGAGGUGUGUAGAAUUCCUAGUGUAGAGUUGAAAUUCGUAGAUAUUAGGGAGAACACCAGUGGCGAAGGCGGCUCACUGGUCCGGUACUGACGCUGAGGUGCGAAAGCGUCGGGAUCAAACAGG
rnacentral:rRNA from 1 species